rnacentral:rRNA from 1 species
UACGAAGGGGGCUAGCGUUGCUCGGAAUCACUGGGCGUAAAGGGUGCGUAGGCGGGUCUUUUAAGUCAGGGGUGAAAUCCUGGAGCUCAACUCCAGAACUGCCUUUGAUACUGAAGAUCUUGAGUUCGGGAGAGGUGAGUGGAACUGCGAGUGUAGAGGUGAAAUUCGUAGAUAUUCGCAAGAACACCAGUGGCGAAGGCGGCUCACUGGCCCGAUACUGACGCUGAGGCACGAAAGCGUGGGGAGCAAACAGGAUUAGAUGACCCUAGUA